GACGAACGCUGGCGGCGUGCUUAACACAUGCAGGUCGAACGGAAAGGCCCUGCUUUUGUGGGGUGCUCGAGUGGCGAACGGGUGAGUAACACGUGAGUAACCUGCCCUUGACUUUGGGAUAACUUCAGGAAACUGGGGCUAAUACCGGAUAGGAGCUCCUGCUGCAUGGUGGGGGUUGGAAAGUUUCGGCGGUUGGGGAUGGACUCGCGGCUUAUCAGCUUGUUGGUGGGGUAGUGGCUUACCAAGGCUUUGACGGGUAGCCGGCCUGAGAGGGUGACCGGCCACAUUGGGACUGAGAUACGGCCCAGACUCCUACGGGAGGCAGCAGUGGGGAAUAUUGCACAAUGGGCGGAAGCCUGAUGCAGUAACGCCGCGUGCGGGAUGACGGCCUUCGGGUUGUAAACCGCUUUCGCCUGUGACGAAGCGUGAGUGACGGUAAUGGGUAAAGAAGCACCGGCUAACUACGUG
rnacentral:rRNA from 1 species